UGCGAAUGGCUCAUUAAAUCAGUUAUAGUUUAUUUGGUGGUCGUUACUACAUGGAUAACCGUGGUAAUUCUAGAGCUAAUACAUGCAGAAGGUCCCGACUUCUGGAAGGGACGUAUUUAUUAGAUCCAAAACCAGCGCGGGUUGCCUUCGGGUGCCCGGUACCUGGGUGAUUCAUGAUAACUUCUCGAAUCGCAUGGCCCUUGCGCCGGCGAUGGUCCAUUCAAAUUUCUGCCCUAUCAACUUUCGAUGGUACGGUAGUGGCCUACCAUGGUUGCAACGGGUGACGGAGAAUUAGGGUUCGAUUCCGGAGAGGGAGCCUGAGAAACGGCUACCACAUCCAAGGAAGGCAGCAGGCGCGCAAAUUACCCAAUCCCGACUCGGGGAGGUAGUGACAAUAAAUAACAAUGCCGGGCUCUUGUAGUCUGGCAAUUGGAAUGAGUCCAAUCUAAACCCCUUAACGAGGAACAAUUGGAGGGCAAGUCUGGUGCCAGCAGCCGCGGUAAUUCCAGCUCCAAUAGCGUAUAUUAAAGUUGUUGCAGUUAAAAAGCUCGUAGUUGGAUUUCGGGGCGGCCCGGCCGGUCCGCCGCAAGGCGAGCACUGGUCGGGAGCUCUUCCUCUCGAAGGCCUCGACUGCGCUUCACUGUUGUGGUCGAGGAGUUCGGGACGUUUACUUUGAAAAAAUUAGAGUGUUCAAGGCAGGCCGUGGCCUGAAUACAUUAGCAUGGAAUAAUGGAAGAGGACCUCGGUCCUAUUUUGUUGGUUUCCAGGGCCGAAGUAAUGAUUGAGAGGGACAGUUGGGGGCAUUCGUAUUUAAUUGUCAGAGGUGAAAUUCUCGGAUUUAUGAAAGACGAACAAGUGCGAAAGCAUUUGCCAAGGAUGUUUUCAUUAAUCAAGAACGAAAGUUGGGGGUUCGAAGACGAUCAGAUACCGUCGUAGUCCCAACCAUAAACUAUGCCGACUAGGGAUCGGCGGAUGUUAGCGUCUGACUCCGUCGGCACCUUACGAGAAAUCAAGAGUCUUUGGGUUCCGGGGGGAGUAUGGUCGCAAGGCUGAAACUUAAAGGAAUUGACGGAAGGGCACCACCAGGAGUGGAGCCUGCGGCUUAAUUUGACUCAACACGGGGAAACUCACCAGGUCCGGACAUGGUAAGGAUUGACAGA
rnacentral:rRNA from 1 species